rnacentral:rRNA from 1 species
AAAUUGAAGAGUUUGAUCAUGGCUCAGAUUGAACGCUGGCGGCAGGCCUAACACAUGCAAGUCGAGCGGAAACGAGUUAUCAGAACCUUCGGGGGACGAUAACGGCGUCGAGCGGCGGACGGGUGAGUAAUGCCUAGGAAAUUGCCCUGAUGUGGGGGAUAACCAUUGGAAACGAUGGCUAAUACCGCAUGAUGCCUACGGGCCAAAGAGGGGGACCUUCGGGCCUCUCGCGUCAGGAUAUGCCUAGGUGGGAUUAGCUAGUUGGUGAGGUAAGGGCUCACCAAGGCGACGAUCCCUAGCUGGUCUGAGAGGAUGAUCAGCCACACUGGAACUGAGACACGGUCCAGACUCCUACGGGAGGCAGCAGUGGGGAAUAUUGCACAAUGGGCGCAAGCCUGAUGCAGCCAUGCCGCGUGUGUGAAGAAGGCCUUCGGGUUGUAAAGC